GACGAACGCUGGCGGCGUGCUUAACACAUGCAAGUCGAACGGAAAGGCCCUGCUUGCAGGGUGCUCGAGUGGCGAACGGGUGAGUAACACGUGGGUGAUCUGCCCCUUACUUUGGGAUAAGCCUGGGAAACUGGGUCUAAUACUGGAUAGGACCAUGCUGUAGGUGGUGUGGUGGAAAGAUUAGUUUCGGUAAGGGAUGAGCUCGCGGCCUAUCAGCUUGUUGGUGGGGUAAUGGCCUACCAAGGCGUCGACGGGUAGCCGGCCUGAGAGGGUGGACGGCCACAUUGGGACUGAGAUACGGCCCAGACGCCUACGGGAGGCAGCAGCGGGGAAUAUUGCACAAUGGGCGCAAGCCUGAUGCAGCGACGCCGCGGGGGGGAUGACGGCCUUCGGGUUGUAAACUCCUUUCAGCCAUGACGAAGCCCUUGUGGUGACGGUAGUGGUAGAAGAAGCACCGGCUAACUACGUG
rnacentral:rRNA from 1 species